GGGCGUGGGGAGAAGAAGAAGAGAAGUAGAGGGAGAAGAGAAGAAGAGGGAAAAGAAGAGAGGAAGAAGAGGAAGAAGAGGGAGAAGAGAAGAAAAGAAGAAGUAGAAGAGAGGGAAGAUGGAGAGGAGAAAGAGAGGCAGCUGCAGCAGCUAGGGCUGCAGCACCUCUGUUUCCCGCAGAUGGAAACAGAGGAGAGGAUGUGUGGGGCGUUGAGGAUGAAAAGGGAAGAAGAAGAAGAAGAAGAAGAAGAAGAAGAAGAGAGGACGAUAGCUGCGGCAAGGCUGCAGCGAGGAGAUGUGUGGCCUUGGGGGAGGAAAAGGGAAGAGGAGAAGAAGAGAAGGAGAAGAAGAGGGAAAAGAGAGGGAAGACGGAGAGGAGCGAGAGGUGGCUGCAGCUAGGGCUGCAGCACCUCUGUUUCCUGCAGGUGGAAACAGAGGAGACGUGUGGGGUGUCGGGUAGGAGAAGAGCAGAAGAAGAAGAAGAGGAAGAGAAGAAGAAGAGGAAGCAGGAGAAGAGGUUGUGAUACCUCUGUUCCCUGCAGAGGAAACAGAGGAGAGGGUGUGUGUGACGCCGGGAAGAAGAAGGGGAGGAAGGAGAAGAAGAGAAGAAGAAGAAAGGAAGGAGAAGGAAGAGGAUAAGGGAAAGAAGUAGCUGCGGCUGCGGCUGUGGCAGCUGCAGCUAUGGCAGGGAAAGAGGAAGAGAAAGGAAGAAGGGAAGGAGAGGAAGAAGAGGGAAAAGAGAGGGAAGACGGAGAGGAGCGAGAGGUGGCAGCAGCUAGGGCUGCAGCACCUCUGUUUCCUGCAGGUGGCAACAGAGGAGACGUGUGGGGUGUCGGGUAGGAGAAGAGCAGAAGAAGAAGAAGAGGAAGAGAAGAAGAAGAGGAAGCAGGAGAAGAGGUUGUGAUACCUCUGUUCCCUGCAGAGGAAACAGAGGAGAGGGUGUGUGUGACGCCGGGAAGAAGAAGGGGAGGAAGGAGAAGAAGAGAAGAAGAAGAAAGGAAGGAGAAGGAAGAGGAGAAGGGAAAGAAGUAGCUGCGGCUGCGGCUGUGGCAGCUGCAGCUAUGGCAGGGAAAGAGGAAGAGAAAGGAAGAAGGGAAGGAGAGGAAGAAGAGGGAAAAGAGAGGGAAGACGGAGAGGAGCGAGAGGUGGCAGCAGCUAGGGCUGCAGCACCUCUGUUUCCUGCAGGUGGAAACAGAGGAGACGUGUGGGGUGUCGGGUAGGAGAAGAGCAGAAGAAGAAGAAGAGGAAGAGAAGAAGAAGAGGAAGCAGGAGAAGAGGUUGUGAUACCUCUGUUCCUUGCAGAGGAAACAGAGGAGAGGGUGUGUGUGACGCCGGGAAGAAGAAGGGGAGGAAGGAGAAGAAGAGAAGAAGAAGAAAGGAAGGAGAAGGAAGAGGAGAAGGGAAAGAAGUAGCUGCGGCUGCGGCUGUGGCAGCUGCAGCUAUGGCAGGGAAAGAGGAAGAGAAAGGAAGAAGGGAAGGAGAGGAAGAAGAGAAGGGAAAGAAGGGGCUGCGGCUGCAGCGAUGGCAGCUGCAGUUGGAAGAGAAGAAGGAGAGGAAGAUGAGCAGGGGAGGAAGAAGAGGCUGUGGCCGCGGCUGAGGCUGCGACUGCAGCAGUGCAGCUGGGAAAGAAAGAAGGAAAGGAAGAAGAAGAGAAAGGAAAAGGGAAGAAGAGAGGAAGAGGAGAGGCAGCUGUGGCAGUGGCAGCUGCAGCUGGAAGAGAAGGAGAGGAAAUAGAGCAGGGGAGAAAGAAGAGGCGGCUGUGGUGGCUGCGGCCAUGGUUGCGACUGCGGCAGUUGCAGCUGGGAAAGAAAAGAAAGGAAAGGGAGAAAAAGGGGCUGCGGACGGGAUUGCGGCCGCAGCGGCAGCGACUGCGUAUGCAGCAGUUAUGUCUGCGAGAGAAGGGAGGAAAGAAGGUAGUGCGGUGGAAGGGGCUGCGAUUGUGGCAGCGGCAGCGGCGGCGGCUGUGGCAACUGCGUUUGGGAAAGAAAAAGAAGAAAUGAGAGUAAGAGAGAGCAGGUGACUGUGCCUCGAUGUUCGACACGUGGUGUAGUUGCGAAGAAAGGAAGAAAACGGGAGCACAAAACGAAACAGAGAGAGGACACGGAGGAAAAGUAGAAGGAUUUGGGCUGGCACCUUCUUUGGAUCUUCGGAUCGAAAUCCUUGAAAGGUCAGCUUGUCACUCUUCGAGAUGUUUGAUUUGGGCUGAGGCAGUGGAUAGCUAUUUAGAAUUAUGGGCAAGUCUUGUUGGUUGUUAUGCUAUUGUUGUAUAAGCAUAUUUUGUAUGUAAUGAAUUGUUCUGAUGAUCAAAAUGGAUAUACUGUGUAAAAGUGUUAGAA